rnacentral:hammerhead_ribozyme from 1 species
AUCCGGCUGACGCGUCCCGAAUAAAACGAAAUGCGCGUCCUGGAU